CGCACGGUGAGUAACACGUAUCCAACCUGCCGAUGACUCGGGGAUAGCCUUUCGAAAGAAAGAUUAAUACCCGAUGGCAUAGUUCUUCCGCAUGGUGGAACUAUUAAAGAAUUUCGGUCAUCGAUGGGGAUGCGUUCCAUUAGGUUGUUGGCGGGGUAACGGCCCACCAAGCCUUCGAUGGAUAGGGGUUCUGAGAGGAAGGUCCCCCACAUUGGUACUGAGACACGGACCAAACUCCUACGGGAGGCAGCAUG
rnacentral:rRNA from 1 species